GGCCUCUGCGUCCUAGAAUCCAAGAUGGCGGGAUCCAGGCGAAAGCGUCCCCAGGCCCGAUCGCGACCGUUUUUCUAUGCCCUGCUGCUGUCUCUCAGUCGUCUCGUCGGGGGCGAUGGCCUGGGAGGCGACGCCAUGGCCGCCGGCGCCGCGGGCACGCCGGCCGAGCUGCCACACCGUCGUUUCGAGUACAAAUACAGCUUCAAGGGGCCGCACCUGGUGCAGAGUGACGGGACCGUCCCCUUCUGGGCCCACGCGGGGAAUGCUAUUCCAAGUUCAGAUCAAAUUCGAAUAGCACCAUCAUUAAAAAGCCAAAGAGGAUCAGUAUGGACAAAGACAAAAGCAGCCUUCGAGAACUGGGAAGUCGAGGUGACAUUUCGAGUAACUGGAAGAGGUCGGAUUGGAGCUGAUGGCCUAGCAAUUUGGUAUACAGAAAAUCAAGGUUUGGAGGGCCCCGUCUUUGGAUCCGCUGAUAUGUGGAAUGGUGUUGGAAUAUUUUUUGAUUCUUUUGACAAUGAUGGAAAGAAAAAUAAUCCUGCUAUAGUAAUCGUGGGCAAUAAUGGACAGAUCCAUUAUGACCAUCAAAAUGAUGGCGCCAGUCAAGCUUUAGCAAGUUGCCAGAGGGACUUCCGUAACAAACCCUAUCCUGUCCGGGCCAAGAUUAUCUAUUACCAGAAAGCAUUGACAGUAAUGAUUAAUAAUGGCUUUACACCAGACAAAAAUGAUUAUGAAUUUUGCGCCAAAGUAGAAAAUAUGGUUAUCCCCCCACAAGGACAUUUUGGAAUAUCUGCUGCCACAGGAGGUCUUGCAGAUGACCAUGAUGUUCUCUCUUUUCUGACUUUCCAACUAACUGAGCCCGGAAAAGAGCCGCCUACACCAGAUAAAGAGAUUUCAGAAAAAGAAAAGGAAAAGUAUCAGGAGGAGUUUGAACACUUUCAACAAGAAUUGGACAAAAAAAAAGAGGAGUUCCAGAAGGGCCACCCCGACCUGCAAGGGCAGCCGGCAGAUGACGUAUUUGAAAGUGUAGGAGAUCGUGAGCUAAGACAAAUUUUUGAAGGCCAGAACCGUAUUCAUCUUGAAAUCAAGCAGCUGAAUCGGCAGUUGGAUAUGAUUCUAGAUGAGCAGAGAAGAUAUGUCUCGUCGCUGACAGAGGAGAUUUCUAAAAGAGGAGCAGGGGUCCCAGGGCAGCAUGGGCAGAUUAGUCAGCAAGAACUGGAUACUGUUGUGAAAACUCAGCAGGAGAUUAUGAGACAAGUAAAUGAAAUGAAGAACUCCAUGAGUGAAACGGUGAGGCUGGUGAGUGGCAUACAGCACCCAGGCGCUGCCGGCGUCUAUGAGUCGACGCAGCACUUUAUGGACAUCAAGGAGCACCUGCACGUGGUGAAGAGAGACAUAGACAGCUUGGCACAGCGGAGUCUGCCAUCCAAUGAAAAACCGAAAUGCCCUGAACUCCCGCCGUUCCCGUCAUGCUUAUCUACUGUCCACUUCGUCAUAUUUGUAGUGGUACAAACGGUGUUGUUCAUUGGUUAUAUCAUGUACAGGACUCAGCAAGAAGCAGCUGCCAAAAAAUUCUUUUGACCAUCCUUUUUGUAUGUGUACAUCCUGUAUGUAUGCGCAAAAAUGUUGUCUUUUUGAGGGAACAUAAGUAUUUAAAUUACUUCAUAGGCUAAAUUAUUAAAUUUUGUAUGAAAGAAGUGUUUAAACAUUGGUUUUCAGUGAGAAUAAACCUUAAAGACAACCACAUAUAAAUGUGUUCAUAGUUCCUAAAUCUGUUUAAAUUUCAGUGAAUUUCUGAUCAGUAGAAUGCUGUCACUGAUCAGAAUACUAGAAAGUAAAAGGGUCAAUAAUAGAAAAUGGAGGCGGUCCCUUUAUUAAGAGUGUUCCCGUCUAAGUUUCCAGUAGUGGAUUUCCUUAUUUCACACAAAUGCACUUGCCUCCUACGCCCCAAAAUAAAAGGUAUAAUUAAAAUGGCCCUCAUCAUGUAUUUUGUAACCAAAGUCCUUUUUAAAGGUCAGAGUUUCCUCAUCUAACUUCCCAUCCUCAGUCCUUAACACCACUCACCCCGGAAUCGAAAACUGUUUUAUCUGAGAGCUUUAGAAUGUUGACAGUAAACUCAUAACCUAUUCAAUGAAAUGCCUUCUUCCUCUGCUAUGUUUCACUUUUAAAUUGAGAGGGAAAGUUAAGAGAGCUACUUUUUCCUAAAAACGUCAUUUAGGUGGAAACAUUCCUGUGAUAAUGAUUUUUCAUGGAUAUUUUACCUGGAAAUACAUUUAUUUCAUGGUGACCCAUGUUCUUGAAUAUUUUCAUUCCAGUGGUGUCAGUUCACUAUUAUAAGAAUCAUUUUUAUAUUUUUAAAGGAAUUUUUUUCAUCCAUUUUAUCUGGCAUAUAAUUUGCCUCUCAUUGCAUAUUCUGAGGAUAUUUAAAUUCACAAAACCUACCACUAUAUUCUGGUUACAACCACAUAACCAGAGUUUGUGACUUCUUGGAGACUCUUGAAUCAAGGAGGCUGUUGUAGGAUCAAUAUUAAGAUUUUUGAAGGCAAUAUUAGAAAAAUCAAGGCAAUUCUUGGCAUUUCUUCCUUUUGUUGGCAAAUUAAGCCAUGAAAUGUGAGACUGGAAGAUUUUAUAGUCUUUGUACAUAGUUCUCAGAAUUAGAGAAACCAUCUGUAAUGACAUUUUUUAAAGUGCAAGUUUACUUUUUGUUUUCAUAACCGAUAAAGAUUUUGCUGUCUUCAAAUUCCUUUUACCUCAUAUGUCAACUGAUUAUCUUUGAUUUGCCAUAGUAUCAGAGCACCCUCUGUUUAUGAAAUAGUAUUUUUGAGCUCUUCCAAGGCUGAGUUUUCUCUUAAAUGUCAUUUACAGAUUGGGCUGAUGACCUAAAAUCUAUGUAAAGACUUGGUGAAGAGCUCCGCACUGUGGCACACCCGUCCUGUGUGUGCAAACUGCCGCACCGCUGUCUAUGUGGGCAUUGACUCUCAAACACUAAAAGAAUAUCCUAGUGGUCACUCUACUUCAGCCACUUCAGCAUUCAGAAUGCUGCUCUCACAGUUUUUUUGUUGUUGUGUUAAUAUUUUGAAAUUCAUGUUUCAGAGACAUCAGCAUCACAGAAUUGACCAUUUAUGUCAUGAAAUAAAAUACCUUUAGAAGAAUUUGAAUUGUAGACCUACGAAGCUUGGGAAAUCCUCUUGAGGUCAAAACCUGCCAAAUCCAGUAUUACUUUAAAGUCCCUGGUCACAUGUGCCUGAACAAGAACAGGAAUUCCAGAUUUAUGCAGAAUCCGUAUUUCAGGCUAGAAUUCAAGGGGAAUCAUCCUGCUCGUUCCUGAAGCACAUGCAGGCAGUGAUAUGGGACAUGAGCUCAGUCAUGUGGUUCACGCAGGAGGCUUCUCUUACUGUUGGAAGCUUGGUUUGUCUUCCUCAAAAUCGUUGACUCUUUUAAGUUGCUCAUUUCUGAGCAAAAGUGUUUGCUCUGUGGAAAAGUUAUAUCACUGCCAGAAUUUCAUUUUCUUUAUUCUUACAUGUAAUUGAAUUAAUUCACUUCUCUCUCACACCAGCAAGUAUUUUACAGGUGCCUUGAAUU